rnacentral:rRNA from 1 species
GGGGGGGGGGGGGGGGGGGGGGGGGGGGGGGGGGGGGGGGGGGGGGGGGGGGGGGGUGCGCCGGUGGCGUGGGCGGCGGGCGGGUGGGGAACGCGUGGGUGACCUACCUAUGAGACUGGGAUAACUUCGGGAAAGCGGAGCUAAUACCGGAUAAUAUAUUGAACCGCAUGGUUCAAUAGUGAAAGACGGUUUUGCUGUCACUUAUAGAUGUAUCCGCGCCGCAUUAGCUAGUUGGUAAGGUAACGGCUUACCAAGGCGACGAGGCGUAGCCGACCUGAGAGGGUGAUCGGCAACACUGGAACUGAGACACGGUCCAGACUCCUACGGGAGGCAGCAGUAGGGAAUCUUCCGAGAAGGGCGAAAGCCGGACGGAGCAACGCGGCGUGAGUGAUGAAGGUCUUCGGAUCGUAAAACUCUGUUAUUAGGGAAGAACAAAUGUGUAAGUAACUAUGCACGUCUUGACGGUACCUAAUCAGAAAGCCACGGCUAACUACGUG